rnacentral:rRNA from 1 species
UGCAUGUGUAAGUAUAAGCGAUUGUACUGUGAGACUGCGAACGGCUCAUUAUAUCAGUAAUAAUUUCUUCGGUAGUUUCUUUUAUAUGGAUACCUGCAGUAAUUCUGGAAAUAAUACAUGCUGUAAGAGCCCUGUAUGGGGCUGCACUUAUUAGAUUGAAGCCGAUUUUAUUGGUGAAUCAUGAUAAUUGAGCAGAUUGACUUUUUUGGUCGAUGAAUCGUUUGAGUUUCUGCCCCAUCAGUUGUCGACGGUAGUGUAUUGGACUUCGGUGACUUUAACGGGUGACGGAAAGUUAGGGCUCCACCCCGGAGAGGGACCCUGAUAAACGGUUACCUUUUCCAAGGAUUCCAACAGGCCCGUAAAUUACCCACUGGGGACCCCACAAGGUAGGGCCGACAAAUUUCUAUUCCAAGCCUGAUUCCCUUUUGCAAUAGGCA